AUACGGAGGGGGCUAGCGUUGUUCGGAAUUACUGGGCGUAAAGCGUACGUAGGCGGACUGAUCAGUUGGGGGUGAAAUCCCAGGGCUUAACCCUGGAACUGCCUUCAAUACUGUCAGUCUUGAGUAUGGGAGAGGUGAGUGGAAUUCCUAGUGUAGAGGUGAAAUUCAUAGAUAUUAGGAGGAACACCAGUGGCGAAGGCGGCUCACUGGCCCAUUACUGACGCUGAGGUACGAAAGCGUGGGGAGCAAACAGGAUUAGAAACCCCAGUAGUCC
rnacentral:rRNA from 1 species